rnacentral:rRNA from 1 species
AAUCCCGUGAACCAUCGAGUCUUUGAACGCAAGUUGCGCCCCAAGCCUUCUGGCUGAGGGCACGUCUGCCUGGGUGUCACAAAUGGUGGUCCCCCUCAUCCUCAAGGAUUUCGGGACGGAAGCUGGUCUCCCGUGUGUUACCGCACGCGGUUGGCCAAAAUCCGAG